rnacentral:lncRNA from 1 species
AAGUUAUUUGUGCCGUGUAUUAGUUGCGGAGGGUCCGGCUAUUGUACCAUCGAUAGUACCAAACUCUUGAUACUAUCGAAUUUUCUGCCGUUAGAUCUACCUUUUGAUUAUUUUUAUCCGUUAGAUUAUACUAUUCAACCAACUACCUAUUCAAUCCUAAUAGAUCAUUAUUAUUUUAACCGUACAUUCUUUCAUCCAACAGCCGAAAACUCGAUAGUACGAAACACUGGUACUAUCGAUAGUAUAAUAGCAUAAUUCUAGCGCCGGACUAACAUGU